GAUGAACGCUGACAGAAUGCUUAACACAUGCAAGUCCACUUGAACUUCGGUUUGGGUGGCGGACGGGUGAGUAACGCGUAAAGAACUUGCCUCACAGCUAGGGACAACAUUUGGAAACGAGUGCUAAUACCUGAUAUUAUGAUUUUAGGGCAUCCUAGAAUUAUGAAAGCUAUAUGCGCUGUGAGAGAGCUUUGCGUCCCAUUAGCUAGUUGGAGAGGUAACGGCUCACCAAGGCGAUGAUGGGUAGCCGGCCUGAGAGGGUGAACGGCCACAAGGGGACUGAGACACGGCCCUUACUCCUACGGGAGGCAGCAGUGGGGAAUAUUGGACAAUGGACCAAGAGUCUGAUCCAGCAAUUCUGUGUGCACGAUGAAGUUUUUCGGAAUGUAAAGUGCUUUCAGUUGGGAAGAAAAAAAUGACGGUACCAACAGAAGAAGUGACGGCUAAAUACGUG
rnacentral:rRNA from 1 species